rnacentral:miRNA from 1 species
GUGUGCGGGUGUGGGUGUGUUGGGUGCAUGUGUGCUCACGUGCACACACACACUUACAUAGAGGUGCAGG